rnacentral:lncRNA from 1 species
AAAAACAUACAAAAUAAACAUAAAUAAUUUUAAAAUUUUUUACACAUGACUAAUAUUGUUAGUUCUCGACAUCCGUACGGUUAGAUCAUCAAAACAAAAAUUUAUAAAUUAAUAUAGAGUUAAUUGUAUACAUAACAAACAUUCUAUUCAGUACAAUCUAAAUUGUAAACAUAAAACACAUACUAAUACUCACGUCCGAACUACAA